ACCGUGUUGGGCACCGCUCUUCAUUAAGUGAUCGCUGCUAUCAAACACGCUCUGGAUGUCUUGAAGGGGGGGGGAGGGCGGGGAGAGGCGGAGGGAAGAGGGGGAAAUCCCUUUUAGUUUUGCGAUUAGGCUGCCAGGCUUUGUAAAGGGCUUAAAAACAAAGUCAUGCUCAGUCUUUUGUAGGAGAGAUCCAGAUGUUAUGUAGAUUUCUGUUUGCAUGUUCGUUUCGAGCGGCUCCGGCGGUGAGCGCAGCGUUUACGUGUGUGUGUUGCCGGACUUUGCCGUUUGUCGACGUUGCGCUUGUGGAAUGUAUGCUGGAGUAUUAGCUCGGUAAUGCCUUCUAAUGGUAGUGCUAAUUACAGUGGGGUUAUUUAGCAAAUUAAGAGAGAUGAUGCCCCCCCCCCCCCAUCCUUGAGUACCAAAUGAACUUUUCCGAGCACACAGGCACACACACACACACACACGCGCGCGUUAAUUUUGGUGAGUUUCCCUCGCCCAAUCACUUCGCUGAAGCUACACCAUGCCUUACCUCAGAGCAGUCAAUUACCAAAGCUACCCGGGAUCAUCAAUCAUGGGGGAUGCUUGAAGUUUAGGGGAGGAGCGAUGGUCAAACUAUCGAUUGCUGCAGUUUUGUCCUCCCCAACCCCCCACCCUCGUUCACGGUCCCCUGCACAUAAAAUCUAAAACAGACUAUCCCGUUAAUAGUGGAAUUUAUCAAUGAUUAUGUACCCGUUUGUGAAUGUGGCCUCAUACAUAGAUGGCUUUUGAAAAUACACGGCAGAAAAUAUAUUAUUCCGUUAGAUUUUGGUUUGCUUUUCUUUUCGGGGUGAUGACGAUGCUUUUCAGAGGUUUGGGGUUUUUUUUUUAACUUUAAGAAAAUGACUCAAGGGUUAGUUAUAGAUAUUUGGCCUGAUUUUAAUAGGCAAAGGGAAUGAGCUCCAGAGGUCAAUAAACCCCUCCAAAAUGAUGAAUGAUUGAGUACCUGUGAUGAUGAUAGUGAUUACCGGAGCAAUUAAACAGUUUGAUUAAAUGAGCCAUCAUAACAAUGAUGUCUGCGGGAAAUCAGCCCUCACGUAUAAAGAAAGAUAGUGUGGAGAGCUGACAAACGCCAGUGGGCAUUCCUGCAUGUUCCGCUAGCGCCGAGCCCUGCAGAGCAGGGCUGUAUUUACAAAUAUGAGGGGAAUACGGAGAAAAGUCCCUCUUCUACUUAUAGCCAGAGUUGCACCCUGCUUAAAACCCGCCAGAAGCCGGAGAGCAGACACGGGUUGUUUUUUUUUUCCUAGAGGAUCUCCUCCAAGAUUAAAGCUAGUCCUAAGAGCAACCGAAUUGCUGUGACUGACUUUCACGGGACUGUAAAGAGAGAUCGGCUCAAAAGUCCAAAGAGAAAUGAGGUGUCCGGUAUGGAAGUGCAUCUCAGUCAACCGCCAGCUCCUUUUGCCGAGGCUGGAAAUGGUUUUAACAGGCGGUAAAAUUUCAUCUUGUGGUGUCAAAUUGGGGUCAGUUUGGGGUUAGCGCUCUCAGUGUCCGAGCAGGAGCUGUCCAGCUGUGUGGGGAUUCAUUAAGGGCAAAAGAUCCGUUUCAAGAAAAACAAUACAAAGACAAUCAGAGGGCUAAAGAUCCUCUUCAAAUCGCAUUUUACAAGUGCACCAGAACAAAUAUGGAUGCUGAAACCUAUUCCCUUCAAACUCCCAAAUCGGCUUCUUAGCCCUCGGAGGGAGCGAGAGAGAAAAUCCUCUAAAAGUUAAGAAGAGUCUGUUUUCAAUCAGCCUUUCCGAAGUGUGGCAUCUUAGUCCUUUGCUGGCUUUGAGACAUGCCUCUCUUGCUUACUCGUUGCAUCUCUCCCUCCCUCUCUCUCUUUUUCCACAGCCUUGCAAAAGCGGAUGGCACAACAGGUAAUAUUUCAGAUUUCAAGAAUAAAUCCCAGCGGAGACCUUAAACCGCUGUUUUGCACGCGCGUGUGCUCCUAUCACAAGAUUUAAUGCAAAUAGAAAGUUUUUAGCGGGAAACAAGCCAUGCUUGCACGAAAUCCUAUUGUACCCUCUAGGAAAUUUUGAGCUCUCCUUGUAGGUGAUCCUCCGGUCUGAUGGGUAAUUUAGGCUAGAUUUACUUCCUGGUUCUUAGCACUUGUGGAAAGCACCUAUUGCUAAUCUGGUUUAUUAAAUUCUCAUGGUUUAAAUCCUCUUAACGUCCCUACAUCUGUUAGGACAAUUGACGCCUUGCUACAGGGACAAAUAACUUGAACCUUAAUCUUGUUUGUAACUUUAUUCAAUGUUUGUUUGUUUGUGUGCUGAGUUCAAGUAUUUUGGAGGAUGCCAUUGUCUUCGGUAACACGUAGACUGCAUUUGAAAGCAAAACUCCUCUUAGACGGGUCAAGGAUAUCAUGGAACACAGUGAAAAAUUUAGCAUAUUCGAACUGGCUUUUUGUCUCGAACUAUCAUACUAGACAAUGUGUCGUAAUUAAUGAAGAAAGCAAUCUUCUUCUUAAAAUAAGGACGCGGGACAUCAUCGUGACACCGUGGUGAAAUUCACGUGAAUUUUACUUUUUGUUUUGCUUGCAAGGCGAAGUGUGGAGUUUAAGUAGUACCUUUUUUCUUUUUAUAAUCAAGAUUGUGCCUCAGUUAAAUUCCGACCCCCAAACCCGCUCGUUACCACACUCUCCUUUGCCCUUACGGUUGCUUUUUACAACUUCAGUCACUUUUUAUUCGUCUCAGCACUCUUUGAUUCGCCUCCGACUUCCCGCAGCUGCAAGACUUUCGAGGUCCCAUCUCGGGUGCCCCUGUGAAAUCAUGCACGUUUUAGCUUCUGCAGAUCACUGGGUUCAUUUAGCUCCUCACCCUGAUCCCCCCGUCUGCCAGUGGUGUACUUCGCUUUUCAGUAAUGUAUUAUUAUUUGUCGAAAAUCUUUCUAGUCCUGAAAGUCAAUGGUAGCCCAUCACGGUGAACUUUUCUUGACCUCGACUGCGGUAUGACUGAGAUCUUUGGGAGCUGGAUUAGGAGGAGGUCCAUUUACUUACCUGUUACUUCGCUUUUUACUCGUUCUUCCACCCCUCCGCCCUCUUUUUUUUUUUUUUUUUUUUUUUUUUUUUUGAGGGAAAAGCCCCAAGCCCGCACGAAAGAAGAGCGCUCGGGGUUGGUCCUGCCCUGCGGAGCCGCUGUGCCCCGGCGGGCGGGCCGCGGCGCUGCCCCGGCGGGCGCUCCAUCCAUCAGCAGCCCUCUAGCGCUAUCUGGCGGGGCUCCAGCACAGCCCGCAGCCGCCGCGGGGCCGGCAGCGCGGCUCGCUCCCCGCCGCACAGCCCUCGGGCCCGGCUCGGCGGCUCCCGCGGGACGCUGAUGGGGCAACCCCAGUGCCGGGUUCCAUCCCUGAGGGGCGAAACCCGCCGUGGGAAGGGGCAUAGAGAUGAACCCCUUCGCGUUUGUCCGGCUUGUGUCACGCGAGUGGGUGUGAAGCACUACAGUCAAAGGGAUGAGACUCUUUUUUUUUAAAAUUAUGUUACUUAGGCUGGAAUGUUUGUAAAAGUGGAAUGUUUGUAAAACUGGAGACCAUAUGCAGUCGACGUGUAUCUCCAUCACACACCAGAGGGGGAAAAAAAAAGAAAAAAGAAGAAAAUAAUCACCAACCUGUCAGGGUUUCCCACUAAUACUGUUUGCACUGGAUAGUCAAAAAUCUAGUUUGCAAUUGUUCGAAGAAUCCCAAAGUAUGAAAAAAAA